rnacentral:misc_RNA from 1 species
GGAAUAAAUAAAAGAAUGAUCGAUAAAGUAAACAACAUCCGGAAGUUUUUUGGCACAGUACUACAUGUUUUAAAGCAGCUUUCUCAUGCUUCUCCAGUAAGAACAGCAAAAAAGUGGCGCUUAGGUUCUGCAGAGAAAGCUGGCAAUAAAAAAUAUGGCAGUGCAAACAUAUUGAAAGGAUCAGAAUCAUGUAAAUGAGAAGAAUCAUCAGAAAACAUCGGGACACCUAAUAAGAAAUUGCUUAAUAUCAAGGAAAAAAGAAACAAAUGCUGAAAUUACAUUAUCAGAUGCUUUUCUAUUUAGGUUUUGAUAGAAGGCAGUCCAUACUAAACCAUCACAAACAUCAAAUAUAGUGCCAAAGCAGUUACUUGCAUAAAUGUAUCAGUGCUCAGCACGUCAACCACAGGUUAGGACCAGUAUCCAACAGGGUUAGUCGAGUAGAUAAGGAUGUGAUAAGUCUCCCUUUCCCAUCAAUAAGGAUUCAACUGCACUGGGAAGCACUCCAAGAUUAUUUAAAAAUCCUGAAUGCAUUGGGUCCUUCAGAGAGGAGACUUUAGUCCCACCGUGCGUAAGUUCGCCCAAAGAUGCUGGCAUCAAGUCAAUGGUAUAUGUUCCUCUAUGGAAUAUAUGUGCUUAAAUCAAUUUAUUUUUACGUGGGGACGACAUUCUAGUUCUUCUGGCCUCAUAGUUGACAAUCAAAUUGAAUUGCAAUUGGAGGUCUCAAAGGCACCAACAAGAAUGUUUAGAUCAGAGUCCUCAGCCAUGUUGGAUGGGCAAUAACUGAAUCCUUUAAUCUUUUCCCUCAGUUGAUCUUGUCAUUAUUGAUCCUUAUGUGGGAGAUGUGAGAAAUCUUGGACCAAUCUUCCCCUGUCUCUGGUAGACAACUUUGUUCCAGCAAAGGGCAUUUGUAGAUGAACAGUGAAGAAAGGGAGGAAGGCAGCCCAUCUUUUGGCAUUGAAUGAAGCUUGGGGCAGUUCCAUAUGUCCAGAUCUCUAAGAGAGGUGUGAUGUUCAAGUCCCUUGCAAUCCAAAGAUUUCAGAUUUUGAAGAUCCCCAAUUUUAAGAGUGAAAAGGGUAGAGGGUAAGCCCUCUUCUGGCAUGGACUCAAGAUUAGGACACUUCCAGAUCUUCAAUUCUCUAAGAGAGGUGAGUCUUUGAAGCCCCCUGCAGUCCAGAAAUUUAAGAUUUUCAAGAUUCCAGAGUCUAAGAGAGGUAAGAGUGGAAGGCAGCAACUUAUCCUCUGGAAAGGAUUCCAAAUCUUCAUUUCUUCCAAUACUGAAGCAUUGAAGAGAGUGGGGUAAUUGCGAGUUCCGUUGCUUGCAGGCAGCAAUCAGUUUGUUGCAGCUUUCAAUGUGAAGUGAUCUUAAUUUGAAAGGAAGCCCUUCUACUGGAAAGGACUCAAGUUCUUGGCAAUUAUCUAUCUCCAUAUUCACAAGUGAAGGAAGGAGAGUGUGCAUACACUCAGAUAGUGACUUCAAAUUUGAGCAACCCCAUAACCGCAGGCGUGUCAGAUUUGGGAAUGGUAAUCCUCCUUCAAGGAAAUGUACUAACUUGGAGCAUUCCCCAAUUUCCAAGGAACUGAGGGGUGAAAAAUUCACAAGAAUUCCCUUAGCUGCAAAAACACAUUCCAGAUUUGGACAUCUGCUGAUAUGAAGACUCUUCAACCUGGGGAACACAUCAAUUGGGAAGCACAAGAGUGAGUUGCAAUUAGUCAUUACAAUUUCUUCUAAAUUUGUGGAAAGACAACCUAUUUGCUCCAGUCUCUCUAGUAAGGAAUCUAGGGAGUGGAAUCUGUCAACUCUAAGACUGUAAAGCCCAGAAGUCAAUUUCUGUAACUGCACAUCACGGUAAGAGUCCUUAAACUUCAUUUUAAGGAUGGUGGGAGCAUUUGGAAAUGAAUCCACAAGCUGAUGACAUCCCUCAAUCUCAAGUGCUGAUAGAGAAGGAAGUUGAAUAGGCAGGGCCUUGAUUAGCUUGGGACAUUUUUUUACAGAAAGCUCUUGGAGGAGAGGGAAAGCUCCACCUUCUUCAUCCUCACCUGCAUAUGAAAUCCAUUCUUGCCACUGUGGUAUUUUCUCAAAUCUUAAAAUUUUGAGGGAACAAAAUGGCUUCUUUUUGGGCGUGCGGCUUCUUCCAUAAAACUCAGAACCCACAAUCUCUACUUUAUCAAAUGCUGUGAUGGAGAGGUCUUGUAGAGAUACCAACUGACCAAGUGGGGGUAAGGAUAAGCACCUUUUACUCCCGCUUAACUUCAAGGAUAGUAGAUUUGAGAAAGAAUGAUCACCAACCCAAUUUGGAAAUCUUGAAGCCCCAAAACCAACAAUAGAAAGAUAGCUCAGAUGCUUAUGAGGCUGUAAUUGCUCAAGCACUCUUCUUUCAUGCACUGAAUUCUUAGUUUCACCAGCCCAUCUCAAUUUCAACAUUUUAAGGUGCUUCAUAACCUUCAAAUCGGCUUCUAUAGCCUCCUGAGAAUCAACAAUGUUUUGCAGAUUCCGAAUGCAAAGUUCUCCUCGGAGAUCCUGAAGCUCUCUCAGCUCUUUAAUUCUAGACCCACCCUGCUCUCCCAAGACGAAAUCAGUUAACUUCUUAAGCUUUGUUAGUUUACCCAUUUGUGGUGGCAUUUCCCGCAAAUUUGUUUCUCUAAUGUCAAAAUGCUUCAAGUUGAUUAGCCUUCCCAUGUUGGUUGGCAACACAACGAGUUUCUUGCACCGACGUAAGAUCAAAGUUUGCAGAGCGUACAAACUACAGGUAGAUUCAGGUAAUCUUCGAAUUGAUGUUUCAGAGAGAUUAAAGUACCGUAAAUGCUUCAAAUUGCCAAUUGAA